CACAGUUUUAGCUUUAUUAUUUCUUAUAUUAUGCUAUUUAUUCUUUAUUUUUGCUCAACUUCUUAGUUUCUGGCAUUCUGUUCUUUCACUUUAUCUCAUUGGUUUAAUUUCAUAAUUCAAAUUAUUUCCUGGUUAUUUUAACGUUCAUUUUAAGAAAUUGUUAUUGCUUUUAAUUUAAAAAAUGGUCUUUAUAUGGUAUAUGAAAAACAAUUCAAUAUGGAUAGCCCCAAGGACAAAGAGUCUGUACCAUGGAAAGGUGGCCUUGCAGUUUUCUAUCAAACUUCCCAGGAGCAGAAAUUUGCAACCUCCUCUUUGCCGCAACACACCAAAAGGAGCAGAAUCAUUGACUCUUAGUAGUUCUCAGCUGUGAUGCAACAAAGCAUUUCAAAACCUCUAGCUGAAUGCUAAGACAAAGGCUUCUCAUUGUGUGAAAGCUGAAGGAUCUCUCCCUGCAUUCCCUUCAUGGGCAUCUCUAGGCUACUUGGCCUCAUGGAUGCUUCAGGCUCUCCAGUGGCUUCAGAGAUCCCUAGUUUCCAGCAUUCCCCCUCCUGCUGCAUGUCUCAGUCUAACUGGUCAUUGAUAGUGGCAGGAGACAGACAAAUUCCUAGGCCGACAGGGUUGGGUUCCUGGUGAAACCCAGCCUUCAAAUCAAAGACAAUUUAAAGCCUGAAAACCGACCUGCUGAUUCCAGAUAGAGUCUACAACCAGAGACACGGCUUUACCUCCUUCUCCAGAGGAUGCAACAAUAAGGCACCAUCUUGGAAGCAGAAAGCAGCCCUCACCAGACACCAAAUCUGCCAGCACCUUGAUCUUGGAUUUCCCAGACUCCAGAACUAUGUGGUCUUUCAUUUCCUCGGCAGAAUACUCCUGGCAUGAUCUUUAAGGAAUGAAAUGUUGUCUACCAACCUCGGCUGAGUGUACACAGUUCUGGGAAAAGGUGCAUCUUAGACUAAUCUGAUUUAGUAAGUGAAUAUAAAAUGCUCCCCAGGACACCUUGCUAGUAAAGACUCCAACUAAGAUUAGAGUAUGAAUUAAUAGAGCCAAGAAUGGACAUUGGAGUGGGAAUUUACCAACUAGCAAUUUACUUUAAUGAUUAUUUCCUGAUAACUUCUGAAAUAUUUUUAAUGUUUAGAGAAUUUGUUUAGCAACUGAAAGGAAAACUUUCUACUAAAAAAUAUGCCAUGCACAUUUAAAAACAUUCCAAUUGCUCCACUGUCUUUCAUAUCUAUCUCUGUUUGCUAAUAUCUAUAAUGCAAAUUUUAGAAAACACAUCUUGACUCAUCAAUUUAUGAAUUAUUUUACUCCCUAUCAUGAUAUUAGCAGUACAUUUUUUUUCCUUUCCCUUCUAGGCUUGUUUUUCUUCAGGAAAGGAAAUCAGAUACAACAUAGACGUUGUGUUUCACGAUGUCUUUUUCAAAAUAUUUUGACAACCUGGGUAAUAAACCCUGCAGGAAGGGCUAGAGUAGAGUAAUGAUGAUGAAAGUGUCACAGUUUUGAAAAUAUAAACAUAUAGAUUUAAUGGGUACUUUUGUGAAUCCCUUUGUCAUCGGCAGGUCAGGUACCUGAUGCAGAAAGGGAGGUCAGAUUUAAGGACAGGGUCUCUUUCCCACACAGGCAGGAGUGCCCGGCUAAUGUGGGUUCAAGAACAGAGUAAGGCUCCUGAUUUCCCAGCACAUCUUUGUCUAUCACUGUAGUCUACAUGCUAAGCUUAAGGUGUCUAGCCUAAGAUUUUAUAUGCUACUGGAAAACCACUUAGUUUAAAUCUAGAUUAAACUUAAAUUUCCUAAAUUUAUACAUAUAUCUAGGUACAACAAAAUAUCAAUUCAAUUUGAAAAGAGACACUUCUCAAAAGAAGACAUUUAUGCAGCCAAAAGACACAUGA
rnacentral:lncRNA from 1 species